rnacentral:SRP_RNA from 1 species
GCUAGGUGUGCUGGUGCACACCUGUAAUCCAAGCUACUUGGGAGGCUGAGACAGGAGAAUCGCUUGAACCCAGGAGACAGAGGUUGCAGUGAGCUGAGAUGGCACCACUGCACUCCAGCCUGGGCGACAGAGUGAGACUCUGUCUCAA